rnacentral:hammerhead_ribozyme from 1 species
AUCUUGCUGACCAUUCCCAAAUAGGACGAAACGCGCGUCCUGAAU